UACGUAGGGCGCAAGCGUUGUCCGGAAUUAUUGGGCGUAAAGAGCUCGUAGGCGGUCUGUCGCGUCUGGUGUGAAAUCCCGAGGCUCAACUUCGGGCUUGCAUCGGGUACGGGCAGACUAGAGUGCGGUAGGGGAGACUGGAAUUCCUGGUGUAGCGGUGGAAUGCGCAGAUAUCAGGAGGAACACCGGUGGCGAAGGCAGGUCUCUGGGCACUUACUGACGCUGAGGAGCGAAAGCGUGGGGAGCGAACAGG
rnacentral:rRNA from 1 species